rnacentral:rRNA from 1 species
GAUGAACGCUAGCGGCAGGCCUAACACAUGCAAGUCGAGGGGUAGAAGGAGCUUGCUCCUUUGAGACCGGCGCACGGGUGCGUAACGCGUAUGCAACCUGCCUUCCACAGGGGAAUAGCCCAGAGAAAUUUGGAUUAAUGCCCCAUGGCACAGCGAGACGGCAUCGUCUUGCUGUUAAAGUAACAACGGUGGAAGAUGGGCAUGCGUCCCAUUAGCUAGUUGGUAAGGUAACGGCUUACCAAGGCUAUGAUGGGUAGGGGUCCUGAGAGGGAGAUCCCCCACACUGGUACUGAGACACGGACCAGACUCCUACGGGAGGCAGCAGUGAGGAAUAUUGGUCAAUGGUCGCAAGACUGAACCAGCCAUGCCGCGUGCAGGAUGACGGUCCUAUGGAUUGUAAACUGCUUUUGUACGGGAAGAAACACUCCUACGUGUAGGGGCUUGACGGUGCCGUAAGAAUAAGGAUCGGCUAACUCCGUGCCAGCAGCCGCGGUAAUACGGAGGAUCCGAGCGUUAUCCGGAAUCAUUGGGUUUAAAGGGUCCGUAGGCGGCCCUGUAAGUCAGCGGUGAAAUCUCCCGGCUCAACCGGGAAACUGCCGUUGAUACUGCAGGGCUUGAAUUGCCGGGAAGUAACUAGAAUAUGUAGUGUAGCGGUGAAAUGCUUAGAUAUUACAUGGAAUACCGAUUGCGAAGGCAGGUUACUACCGGCGUAUUGACGCUGAUGGACGAAAGCGUGGGGAGCGAACAGG